CCGGAUACCCCGGGCUACCGCAUCCAACCCCGGCUAAAGCCCCGACGGGAGGGGAUGGCUCCGCGGCCCAUCAGGUAGACGGCGGGGUGACGGCCCACCGUGCCGACAACGGGUAGCCGGGUUGAGAGACCGACCGGCCAGAUUGGGACUGAGACACGGCCCAGACUCCUACGGGAGGCAGCAGUGGGGAAUCUUGCGCAAUGGGGGGAACCCUGACGCAGCGACGCCGCGUGCGGGACGGAGGCCUUCGGGUCGUAAACCGCUUUCAGCAGGGAAGAGUCAAGACUGUACCUGCAGAAGAAGCCCCGGCUAACUACGUGCCAGCAGCCGCGGUAAUACGUAGGGGGCGAGCGUUAUCCGGAUUCAUUGGGCGUAAAGCGCGCGUAGGCGGCCCGGCAGGCCGGGGGUCGAAGCGGGGGGCUCAACCCCCCGAAGCCCCCGGAACCUCCGCGGCUUGGGUCCGGUAGGGGAGGGUGGAACACCCGGUGUAGCGGUGGAAUGCGCAGAUAUCGGGUGGAACACCGGUGGCGAAGGCGGCCCUCUGGGCCGAGACCGACGCUGAGGCGCGAAAGCUGGGGGAGCGAACAGGAUUAGAUACCCUGGUAGUCCCAGCCGUAAACGAAGGGCGCUAGGUGUGGGGGGACGAUCCCCCCGUGCC
rnacentral:rRNA from 1 species